rnacentral:rRNA from 1 species
UUGGCGGACCGGCGCACGGGUGAGUAACGCGUAUGCAACUUACCUAUCAGAGGGGGAUAGCCCGGCGAAAGUCGGAUUAAUACCCCAUGAAACAGGGGUCCCGCAUGGGAAUAUUUGUUAAAGAUUCAUCGCUGAUAGAUAGGCAUGCGUUCCAUUAGGCAGUUGGCGGGGUAACGGCCCACCAAACCGACGAUGGAUAGGGGUUCUGAGAGGAAGGUCCCCCACAUUGGUACUGAGACACGGACCAA